ensembl:lncRNA
GUGCAAAUAAAGACAGGUAACAGACACUGUAUUUAUUCUCUCUUAUCCAGCCACCAGAAAACAAGAGCUGGAUGAAGCCCUCGUCUCCAUGAUAGUGAAGGACACACAGCCCUUCAGUAUUGUCGAUGAUGUUGGAUUCAGGGCAUUUGUGUCCAAACUGGAUCCUAAUUAGGUUCUCUACCUACAAGGCAGGCUCUGAAGGCCAUGGUGGAGGCCAAGUAUGAGUCGGCUAAGAAGAAGGUCAAGGCUAAAGUAGAAAAGGUGGCUGCUGUUAGCCUUACUUCUGACAUGUGGACAUACAUCAAUGGGGAUGCCUACCUGGCUGUAACAUGCCAUUUUGUGGGUGAGAAAACCGCACUCAGUUCAGUGCUGUUAGGAGUGCAGGGAUUCCCCCAAUCACACACUGCUGAAAAUAUAGCUUGUGUGAAAGCCUCCUUGAUAGAGGAAUGGGAAUUGCUAGUUAGGUGACAUGUAUGGUCACUGAUGGUGCUCCCAAUAUGGUUGUCUGUGUGAGAGAGCUGAAGCUUCGGCACCAUAUUUGCAUUGCACACACACUGAAUCUGAAAUUGAAGAAGGCACUUGACCAGCAGCCUGUGCUCUCUGGCAUCCGGGCCAAAGCACGGAAGCUGGUUGGCUUCUUUAGAAGCAGCACCAGUGCUAAGGAGAAGCUCACACAAGUGCAACUUUAUCUGGGGAUGGGCAAACAUGAAGCUAAUGCAAGAAGUGGAGACCAGAUUGAACAGCACAUAUUUGAUGCUGCAACGUUUGGUGGAGCACAGUGCUGUAGUGGUAAAAUUAGAGUGCACGACCGGCGAACACAGAGCGCGCGACUACUACAUGAAACCGGUCCGUGAGGUAAGAAAGGUUGGGGACCACUGGGCUGAUCCACAGCGUGUAUGUGCCUCCUGGAUCCUGAUUGGGGUCGCUGCUGCAGCCGCAAGGCACUGAUUGGAUGCUCACAGACCGUAAUACAGCGCAGAUGAAAAUGAUUCAGACUACGGCGUUUAUAUGUUUAACAAUAGGAAACGUAGUCUUAGCUGUUUUAAAAUUACACCAAUUUUAUUUCGGAUUUUUCCAACGGAAGAAUACAAGGCGCAGGGAACUUUGAGGUGCGUAAACGCUAUUUAUAGGUGCGUAAACCCUUUUUCCCAAAUUCUCGAGGUGCAUAAAUGGCGUUUACCCGUUAAAAAUAAACAUUUUUAAAUCUGUCGUUUUUUUUUCAACAACAAUAAACAAUAUACAGAAAUGCUACUUAAUCUGGCAAUACACAAUUUUUAUCCUAAACAAUGGGAAAGUG